UUAAGUUCAGCGGGUAUCCCUACCUGAUCCGAGGUCAACCUGAAUAAAUGUAUGGUGGUUUGACGGCGGAACGCCGCACGGGCCCCUAGGACGUUAUUGAAGUAAUUCUACUACGCCCAAAGCCGGUGCGACUUCGCCGAAGGUUUUGGGGCGCGGCCGCCGCUCUCGCGUGGCCGGACGCCCAAUACCAAGCAGUGCUU
rnacentral:misc_RNA from 1 species